rnacentral:lncRNA from 1 species
AAUAUCUAUCCUCACAAACUAAUUACAACACAUGAUAAAUUAUAUCAUAUAAAUUAUAUAAUACAAAAGAUAAACUAUAAAAUAAAAAUUAUACAUCUCAUCUCAAUAUCUAUCCCCACAAACUAAUUACAACACAUGAUAAAUUGUAUCAUAUAAAUUAUAUAAUACAAAAGAUAAAUUUUAAAAUAGAAAUUAUACAUCUCAUCUCAAUAUCUAUCCCCACAAACUAAUUACAACACAUGAUAAAUUAUAUCAUAUAAAUUAUAUAAUACAAAAGAUAAAUUAUAAAAUAGAA